rnacentral:rRNA from 1 species
CGAGUCUUAACUGGGCGAAUAAGUUGCAGGGUAUAGACCCGAAACCCGGUGAUCUAGCCAUGGGCAGGUUGAAGGUUGGGUAACACUAACUGGAGGACCGAACCGACUAAUGUUGAAAAAUUAGCGGAUGACUUGUGGCUGGGGGUGAAAGGCCAAUCAAACCGGGAGAUAGCUGGUUCUCCCCGAAAGCUAUUUAGGUAGCGCCUCGUGAACUCAUCUUCGGGGGUAGAGCACUGUUUCGACUAGGGGGUCAUCCCGACUUACCAACUCGAUGCAAACUACGAAUACCGAAGAAUGUUAUCACGGGAGACACACGGCGGGUGCUAACGUUCGUCGUGAAGAGGGAAACAACCCAGACCGCCAGCUAAGGUCCCAAAGUCAUAGUUAAGUGGGAAACGAAGUGGGAAGGCUCAGACAGCCAGGAUGUUGGCUUAGAAGCAGCCAUCAUUUAAAGAAAGCGUAAUAGCUCACUGGUCGAGUCGGCCUGCGCGGAAGAUGUAACGGGGCUAAACUAUGCACCGAAGCUGCGGCAGCGAUAUGUA